CACCAUAAGCUCAAGGCCAAGGCUGGCAGAGGGAAAGGUCCAGACCUUCUGCCUCCUGGAGAUCCUCCUUGUAGAGUCAAAGUUGGCACUAUGAGCUCAACGCCAAGGCUGGCAGAGGGAAGGUCGAGACCUACCGCCUCCUGGAGAUCCUCCUUGUAGAGUCAAAGUUGAUAGUCCUGGAACUGACCAGACUCCUAGAUUAUAAUAUAUUUCCCGAUUCAUAAAAUGCUAGUUUACAGAAAAAAACAGAACGCUUCGCUGCAGAUAGUAAAAUGUUACAUUGCUUUUGCCUUUGUAACAUCACAACAUACAUCCUGUUUACGGAUGUAAAGUUUGCAUGCUUUGUUAAUGCGCUGUUGUAAAAAAAAGUGCCAUAAGAAAGUAAUUUGAUUGAAUUUAUUUUUACUAUUAUUUCUUGAAUAUUGCAAGAAAAAAAUUCAAUCACUCGUGCUAAAUGCAGAUGAAAUUAUCCAGCUCUGGCAGGUACCUGUUUAUACGGUAACUCGGCAGAGCCUUGUUACCACCAAAAGAGUUACCCUCAAGCGGGAUAUUCCCAUCUAGACCUACCACUAGUGAAAGUAUCUUAUUAUAUUUUAUGUUUAUUUUUCGCAAUUAAAAAGGAAAACAAUUUGACAGAAACAAUAUAACUUAAUAGUUCAGUUGAGCCUGAAGCCUGUAACUUAAAAACAUGCUAGGGCGUUGUUUAAAAAGUUCACUGACAAAAGAAUUUCUUUAAUAACUUGGUAUUUCUCUGGAUUAACUUAAAAUUUUGGAAACUAUCUGUUCUUUUAUAGUGAAACGUUCAGAGUAACAGAACAACAGAAUGACUACAGACUAUGAGCUUAAGAUGUAAAGAGAUGCAAGUGUUUGUUCUAUGAAUGAACAUGGUGUACGCGACAUAAUGAGGAAGUUAACUUAAUCUGGACAGCCUGUCAGGGAGAAAUAACAACAAACACAACAGUAUGCCUGGGUAAAAUUGGCUCAUUUUUGAACCCACAGAUCCGUUCCUGCCAGCACUUCAAGCGGGUAUUAUUGGUAUGGGCAUCACUCAGCAUCUGUUUACUAUGGCUGAUACUGCACACAGAAAUUGAUGCCACCACUGUGUAUGAUGGAAAGUUGUUAGAGCUCAGGCAUUCAAGACUUUGAAGAGUUUUUUUGAGAGGUUGGAGAAAUUGUCAGAAAAUCCAGACCUGUUUCAAGAGUUAGGUAAG